rnacentral:lncRNA from 1 species
GAUGUUGAGAGAUAGAACAGCUUUGCCUGGACAUCUACUUUUCUGAUUCUUUAGCAAGUUUCAUGCCAGAGGUUUUUGCUAAGUUUUUCAAAAGAAAUCUUAAUGUUCCUCAUAUGGUUUCUCUCAAGUCACUCAAGUAGUGUAUAAAUCCUUAUCGAGGCAUAUGAGUAAGUUGCUUUCUCUAUGUAAUCCUACUAUAAUAAAGGCUUAUGUGAAGCUCAAGGUAGGAACAAGGGGAUGGCAUACUUACAUUGCAUAUAUUGUGAAGUCAAACCUCGGAUCCGUGGAGGAAGAGUAGUGUCAUGCUUGAGAUCAAGAUAUAUAUGUGGAAAUGUGGUAUGAGUAUGAUGGCUAGAUGGCCCUUUAUUUGAUUGUGAUCUCUCUAUUUUUUUUUCUAUUGAGACAAGGCUAGCAUUUUUCUCUUUUUUUCUCAAGGACUUGAUGAUGUCCUUCCUAACAAGAUGAUUAUUUUUAUAUAGCCUUUGCUUUGUGUCUCAUGUAACAUUUAGCUAUUAGAGAGAGAGAGAUUCUACACUUAGAGCAUGGAGCAUCUAUAUUUUGGUGGAAUGGAAUGGAAUGGUAUGGAAUGUUGCAUACUCCUAGUGUAGGAGCAGCAGUUGUAUGUGGAUGGUGUGGAUCUUGAUCUCAUUGAACAUGAUACAACUCUAAACCAAGGGUCAGCAAGAGUUGACAACUCUCAACACAAGCA